UACAGAGGGUGCAAGCGUUAAUCGGAAUUACUGGGCGUAAAGGGCGCGUAGGUGGUGCGUCAAGUGAGAUGUGAAAUCCCUGGGCUUAACCUAGGAAAGUCAUCUUAGACUGGCGUACUGGAGUGCAGUAGAGGGUAGUGGAAUUUCCGGUGUAGCGGUGAAAUGCGUAGAGAUCGGAAGGAACAUCAGUGGCGAAGGCGGCUACCUGGACUGACACUGACACUGAGGCGCGAAAGCGUGGGUAGCAAACAGG
rnacentral:rRNA from 1 species